AGUGGCAGACGGGUGAGUAACGCGUGGGAACAUACCCUUUUCUACGGAAUAGCUCUGGGAAACUGGAAUUAAUACCGUAUACGCCCUACGGGGGAAAGAUUUAUCGGGGAAGGAUUGGCCCGCGUUGGAUUAGCUAGUUGGUGGGGUAAAGGCCUACCAAGGCGACGAUCCAUAGCUGGUCUGAGAGGAUGAUCAGCCACAUUGGGACUGAGACACGGCCCAAACUCCUACGGGAGGCAGCAGUGGGGAAUAUUGGACAAUGGGCGCAAGCCUGAUCCAGCCAUGCCGCGUGAGUGAUGAAGGCCUUAGGGUUGUAAAGCUCUUUCACCGAUGAAGAUAAUGACGGUAGUCCGAGAAUAAGCCCCGGCUAACUUCGUGCCAGCAGCCGCGGUAAUACCAAGGGGGCUAGCAUUGUUCGGAAUUACUGGCCGUAAAGCGCACGUAGGCGGAUAUUUAAGUCAAGGGUGAAAUCCCUGAGCUC
rnacentral:rRNA from 1 species